UAUCUGAUAAUGAUAAAUAAUUUCAGAUUGCUAUCAUUAUUAUUUGAUAACACUGAAUUAAAAAUUUAAAUACUGAAUAUUUUUUCCCUAGUGUUUUGUCUUCCAUUUAUAUAAAGGUGUAAGAGCAGGUGGUGGUAUAGGUGAUGAAAUUGAGCCACCUGAUGGAGAUGACUAUGAAUUAUACAGAAUUAUUUUUGACAUCACAUUUUUCUUCUUUAUCAUUGUCAUCUUGUUAGCCAUCAUUCAAGGUUUAAUUAUUGAUGCAUUUGGCGAAUUGAGAGAUCAGUUACAGAGUGUAGUGGAAGAUAUGGAGGUAAAAUAUAUUUGAAUAAUACAUGAUUCUAUA